rnacentral:lncRNA from 1 species
UUAGAGAAGGGCUUGUCAUGUUUAGAGGGUUGCACUUAUUUGCCAAUUGACAACCCAAGUUAAUCAGUGACAGAAUAGGACUUCUGAGUUCUGAUUGUUAUCAUUAUUUUCAGUAGCGAAAUAAAGAGAAUAAUUUUCCUACCAUCUGCUUAAGGUAGUAAGAUAAUUCUAUCAUGCUCUCAUAAACAAAUAAUCACAAUACCAAAAAAGGAUAAAUCAGAAUUUUAACCAUAAUUACCUGAGCAUUCCCUCACUCUUUUUGACUUAGCAGAUGCUUCUACAUUACCAUUUUCUUGUGCAGUGGAUCCUGAUGGCAAUGCAGCACAAGCGGGAGGCAAAACUGGGGACCAAGUCUUGGACACAAGCUUCUUAUUUGGUGAUGAAUUGUGGCCUGCUGACAAAUUGGAUUUCACUAAAACAGCUAUCAAAGCAAAGCCAGAGUUUAACUUUGUGGUAAGCAGGUAUGAUCUUAUGAAAGCUGGUUGUCUUACAAGCCUUAAAAAAUUUAGAAGCAGUGAGAAUACUUGUUAGAGACUUUUUGUCCAAUAAUGAACUGUUCUUUCUAGUUUCCUAUUCUAAGUUGAUUCAUGCAAUAAAAUGCAACUUUUUUCUCAAUUACAUGAAAGAAUCAAGGGCAGUAGAAUGCAAUAUGUUACCUGUAAACCUUGAACCAUCUGCAUACAUUUUUGUGAAAAUAAUUCAUUCUGCUGCCUCUGGUGUUGGUUUCCAUUUUAACACGGGAGUAGAUGCAGCUGUAAAAUGAUUAACUAAGAGGUCAGCUUCUCACCUGAUUUGGCGGGAGCCCUGACAGAAGCACAAAAAGCAGCUGAUUACUUCAUCUAAGGCUUUAUCAAAUUG